rnacentral:rRNA from 1 species
GCAAGCGUUACUCGGAAUUACUGGGCGUAAAGCGUGCGCAGGCGGUUUUGUAAGCCAGAUGUUAAAUCCCCGGGCUUAACCUGGGAAUGGCAUUUGGGACUGCAAGGCUGGAGUGUGGCAGAGGAGACUGGAAUUCCCGGUGUAGCAGUGAAAUGCGUAGAUAUCGGGAGGAAUACCGAUGGCGAAGGCAGGUCUCUGGGCUGACACUGACGCUCAUGCACGAAAGCGUGGGGAGCAAACAGG